CAGUAUGGAAAGGAGCCAACGCCAUGUGAGAGAGGUCAGUGGCUGAGCAAGGAAGAAAACCAACGUACGGCUGGACAACAAGAGGGGAAAGCAAGAGUUCUGGAGCUGGAGGAGCCUGCAGCAAGCAUCUGAAUUCUCAGUACCGCUAAGCCACAUGGCUCUACACACGAACUGUUGUCAACAGGCUGCUCUGAAACUGAAGUUCUGGAUGACACGCUAGACAAAGUGAUCCACGGUUAUGCAUAUCAGUAAAUUAAGAAGUUAAACCUCAAACUGGUAAAACUCAGACGACUCCAUUUCCCUUUUUGUGCUACCACGGGAGGCCAAGAUACCGGUCCGAGUCCAUCGCUGCCCCACAAGGUACUCCUUGGCACGAGCUCUUUCAUCUAAACUG